UACGUAGGGUGCAAGCGUUGUCCGGAAUUAUUGGGCGUAAAGAGCUCGUAGGCGGUCAGUCGCGUCUGCUGUGAAAGCCCGGGGCUUAACCCCGGGUCUGCAUUCGAUACGGGCUAGCUAGAGUGUGGUAGGGGAGAUCGGAAUUCCUGGUGUAGCGGUGAAAUGCGCAGAUAUCAGGAGGAACACCGGUGGCGAAGGCGGAUCUCUGGGCCAUUACUGACGCUGAGGAGCGAAAGCGUGGGGAGCGAACAGG
rnacentral:rRNA from 1 species